rnacentral:tRNA from 1 species
AGUAAAGUGGCUGAUAAAGUUAGGCGAUAAAUUGUAAAUUUAUUUAUGGGUGUGAAAUCUCUUUACUA